rnacentral:lncRNA from 1 species
UGUCUUAUUGUCUUUGAUUUUUCCAGAAAAAUCUGGCAAUGAGAAUAGAAGAAUUGCAAACAAUGUAGCAUGCCUUUGCCAAGACAUAAAUACAGAAGAAACACUCGAAUGGACUAUGUACGGUAUCAAAUUAUCUACAAAGAUGAAGAAAGUAAUGACUUACAUUCUCCAUCCCUUUGACUGAAUAGAUGACUCACCAAAGUGGAAAAUGAAGCCAUUGGAGAUUAACGUUACCCUCAAAAAGAGGGCAAGAGGGAUGGGACCUUGGAGGAGCCAAACCAGUUAGACAAGUUCACAUGCAACCAGAACAUCUGUGACAGGAAGUGGCAGCUAAAUGUUUUGUGUUUCCUUGUGUUCUCUGGAAUGUUCCACAAAGCAUUGCUCACCACAUUUCAUCUGGGACACGGAUAUUUUAAGAGGGAUCUAGGGCCUGCAGGGUAUCACGUUAGGAGAUGCAGAUACUAACUCUGCUUGCACACUGGGUUAGAACAUAGGUUAGGAAGCAGUGACCCUAACCCAUGGACCCUUCUAGAGUCUCUGUGUUUUUUGAUUUUUAUUUUGAAUGGUUUUAUUGAGAUAGAAUUCACACAUCAUAUAAUCCACCCAUUUGCAUUUGGUUUUUCAUUUAUUUACUUGUUUAGAAUCUGUCCUGUAUAGUAACUACUGGCUCCAUGAAGGUAGCAACCAUGCAUAUUUUGACCAUUAAUGCACAGCAAGCACUUAUCAUAGUGCACAAUGCAGCAACUAGUAGCUAGGUAUUUCUAGUGAAUAAAGAAUGGAUAAAGA